rnacentral:lncRNA from 12 species
AUGGGAGACCCCCAGCCCCUGGGUGUGACCCCUUGGGUCAGGGGCUGGGGCUUCUGUUCCUCCACCUUAACUCAGGACAAGGCACCAGUAUUUUUUAAAAAGCAGCAUAAAAAUACUAAAUCGUGUAAGCAGCGUGCAAUAGACUCGCGUGGGUGUAGGAAAUGGGAAUCCUGUGACUGCGGGGACCUGCGCCCCCCUCCCUCCCCCUCCGCGGUUCUGGCCAGUGCUGCCCCUGCCUCCCAGGGACCCGGUGUCAUCGUCAUUUCCUUGCUCUGGAGUUUGCACAACGUCCGCCUGUUGCCUUCCGUGUGGGUUUGCCGGGGUGACCCCACCCGCCGCCGGGUCAGCGGCCGCCCUGCGAAGGAGGGUGGCACAGGGCUGUGCCCGCAGCAGGUGCAGGCAGCUCAGGGGCCGCCCGGGCACCGCCCCCCGCCCCCCGGGGCCCCUCCCCACCGGGCAGACCGGUGCUCACGGGGAAAUAGGGCCCCAGCUUUCCUGCUGGGCGUCCACGGUGGUGGGGGUGGGGAGCGGGGCGGGCUCUGGCGGGAGGGACCCGUGCCCAGCACCCGGGCUCCCGCGCGGCCUCUGCUCCACUCCGGGGUCGACCUGCACCCCUGCGCGCUCGCCCUCACGCGACCGGGGCUGGAGGGGUUGGAGGGUGCAGGGGAGACACGGGGAGGGGGGAGACGUGGGGGGAGACCCCGGAGGCUGGGGCCCGGCGCCCGCUCGCCCCCCAGCCCCCGCGGCCCCGCCCCCAGCCCCCGGGGGCCCCACGGCCACGCCGCACGGUGCCCCCCCGCCCCCGCCCCGACUCACCACGCAGCUUCCUCUGGCCGAGGCGCUGCCUGCCGGGGCAGACCGGGGCUGCGGUGCUGGGAGGGGGGGGUUGGGUUGGGGGGAGGGGGCGGCCCAGCCUCCCCUCCGGCGGGGCCAGGGCAGGGCCACGGACCGAGCCAGCGGCCGCCGCGGGGAAGGGGCGGCACCUCUCGGGCUGACGAACCUGAGACUGACCGCGGGGACACACUCUCAGGUUGGACAGUCCUGGAGGCGCCGCCCGGGCCCGCGGCGAGGCCCGUCAGUCCGGGAGCCUCCCGGGUCGGGGCCCCUCUGGAUGAGCGCGGGGACUGCGGCUCCCUCGGCCGGUGCCCCACACUGUCCCUCGCACUGUCCCCGGCGCCGGCCCUGGACGGCAGUGUGGGCCCCCGAGCACUGGGCGCCGGGUCUUCCCUCGGGGAGGAGGCUGCGGGGUCGCCCGGGUCGCCCGGCCCUGCCGUGACAGUGACCCGCACAAGGCCCACCCUACCCAUGGCCCAGCGUCCCCAGGCGGCCUUGGGUGACCACAGCCUGAGGGGCGGCUCCUGUGCCCCAGGUCCCCUCUGCCCUUCAAGAACAGGGUGGAAGUUGCACCCCCAGCCCACGCGUGCGUCUGGACAUGGGCCGAGCGCCACAGCACAGGACACUGUGGAGCGUGUGGGGGGAGCUGGGGGCCCAGCUGGACGCGGGAAGGCCACAGAGGAACGACCUACCGCUACCCCACCCCCGGAGCUGGGGAGCCCGGGCUGGGCUGCCAGGAGGGCGCCAGCAGCCUCCCCAACAGGGCCAGGCGGGGGCCCCAGCCAGUGGAGCCCGGGACAUGGGGCCACUCACCUGCGUGGCCAGGAGCCCCUCCUGCUGACCUCCGGGCCCCCUCUCCAUUCUCCUCCUGGUGCCAUCCUGGUGCAGGACAGCCUCCUGCUCUAUCUGCCCGCCUCUGACCUGUCCCCCCAGUGA